AAGUCGAGCGAGGGUUUGCUCAGUAUUGAGUAUUCUAAGACUAGAAUGUUCAAUUCUGAGCAAAAUCAAGCGGCGGACGGGUGAGUAACGCGUGGGUAACCUGCCCUAUACACAUGGAUAACAUACUGAAAAGUUUACUAAUACAUGAUAAUAUAUAUUUGCGGCAUCGCAGAUAUAUCAAAGUGUUAGCGGUAUAGGAUGGACCCGCGUCUGAUUAGCUAGUUGGUGAGAUAACUGCCCACCAAGGCGACGAUCAGUAGCCGACCUGAGAGGGUGAUCGGCCACAUUGGAACUGAGACACGGUCCAAACUCCUACGGGAGGUAGCAGUGGGGAAUAUUGCACAAUGGGCGAAAGCCUGAUGCAGCAACGCCGCGUGAACGAUGAAGGUCUUCGGAUCGUAAAGUUCUGUUGCAGGGGAAGAUAAUGACGGUACCCUGUGAGGAAGCCCCGGCUAACUACGUGCCAGCAGCCGCGGUAAUACGUAGGGGGCUAGCGUUAUCCGGAUUUACUGGGCGUAAAGGGUGCGUAGGUGGUCCUUCAAGUCGGUGGUUAAAGGCUACGGCUCAACCGUAGUAAGCCGCCGAAACUGGAGGACUUGAGUGCAGGAGAGGAAAGUGGAAUUCCCAGUGUAGCGGUGAAAUGCGUAGAUAUUGGGAGGAACACCAGUAGCGAAGGCGGCUUUCUGGACUGCAACUGGCACUGAGGCACGAAAGCGUGGGUAGCAAACAGGAUUAGAUACCCUGGUAGUCCACGCUGUAAACGAUGAGUACUAGGUGUCGGGGGUUACCCCCCUCGGUGCCGCAGC
rnacentral:rRNA from 1 species